rnacentral:tRNA from 1 species
AGAAGUGUGCCCGAAACAUAAGGACUAUUUUGAUAAAAUAGGCACAGAGCCCCCUGAUCUCUCACUUCUA